rnacentral:lncRNA from 1 species
GGGGUUUGCUAACUUGCGUACGCCUGUUUUUCAGUUGGUACAUUUUAGCAAUGUGUACCGGGUUUCAGUAGACAAAAAUACCCUUAUAUCAUGAAUUCUAAGUUUUAAGGUUAAGGAUAUUUUAAUAAUUUUCAUUCUCAAAUUUAAAAAAAAAACCCAAACCCUUACCCACCUCUCUCAUUGCUCUCAAUCCUUUCUCUUUCAUCUCUUUCACUCCAACCUUUUCUCUCUCAUCCCUAACUCUAGCCCCAAUUUAAAAAAAUCAGAAACAUUUGCCUUAUUUUAAUAAUUUUCAUUCUCAAAACUAAAAAAAGAAACCUUUAACCCUUACUCACAUCCUUCAUUCCUCUCAAUCCUUUCUCCUUCAUCUCUCUCAGUCAAACAUUUUCUCUGACAUCUCUACACUAGCCCCAACUAAAAAAACACUCAUUAUUAAAUAAAAUGGUUAGAGAAAAAAAAUAUACUUACAUAAAUAAAAUAAUUAAAGCACCUAAUUUUUUCUUUAUAUAAUUUUAAAUAAAAUUUCAAGAUUUAGAAUUUUUAUUGUUUGAUUUUAUCGUUGAGAAUUUUAUGGUAUUUUGAUUGGUUUUUUCUUUAGUAAAGAAAACAAGUUAAUGAAUUUCUACCAAAAAAAAUUAAAUGGCCAUGGAGCAAUGUUACGUAGUAGUCUUUGAAUGUAAAGGAUGCUCAUAAGUCUUGGUGCAAGUUGUCGGUUGUAAUAUAUAUAGUGAAGAUAAUGAAAUUAAAGAGAUUUUGAAUGAACUUUUUUCAGAAGGUGAAUAUGUCAAUGACUCAACUCUUUACAAAGUAAAUGGUUUAAUAAUGAGUGUUUUUUAAUUGGGGCUAGUACAGAGAUGACAGAGAAAAAUGUUUGAGUGAGAAAGAUGAAGGACAAAGGGUUGAGAGGAAUGAAGGAGGUGAAUAAGGGUUUCAGGUUUCUUUUUUUAGUUUUGAGAAUGGAAAUUAUUAAAACAAGGCAAGUGUUUCUGAUUUUUUUUCAAUUGGGCUAGAGUAGGGAUGACAGAGAAAAGGUUGGAGUGAAAGAGAUGAAAGAGAAAGGGUUGAGAGGGAUGAGAGAAGUGGGUAAGGGUUUGGGGGUUUCUUUUUUUAUUUUUUUAAUUUUGAGAAUGAAAAUUAUUAAAAUAUCCUUAACCUUUAAACUUAGAAUU